rnacentral:rRNA from 1 species
CMCGACCCCCCCCAUCCGCCAGAAGAUUACGAGCUUUUCACCCCAGCCUAAAACUCAAAAGACUUGACGGUGUUCCAACCUACCUAGAGGAGCCUGUUCCAUAAUCGAUACCCCACGAUCAACCCUACCACCCCUCGCAUAUCAGCCUAUAUACCGCCGUCACCAGCCUACCUUUUAAAAGAUAUACAGUAGGCACAAUAGUAUAUUACUAGUAAGUCAGGUCAAGGUGUAGCCUAUGGGGUGGCGCUAAUGGGCUACAUUCUCUGCCACAGAUUAUGCACGAAUUAUUUCUUGAUAAAGUUAUAUGAAGGCGGAUUUAGCAGUAAAUUAAACCAGACUACUCAAUUUAACCCUGCCCUGGAACA